AGCAGCUGCGUCAUAUCCAGUGCCUAAUUGGAGACACUGGCCCAGAAGGCUGCCAUAGAGACACUGUGACUUAUGGGCCCUGUUCCCCUUGCUUGAGCUCAGGGAUAAAUUUGGUCACAGAAGCCA
rnacentral:snoRNA from 1 species